rnacentral:rRNA from 1 species
UUAGGGAAUCUUCGGCAAUGGACGGAAGUCUGACCGAGCAACGCCGCGUGAGUGAAGAAGGUUUUCGGAUCGUAAAGCUCUGUUGUAAGAGAAGAACGAGUGUGAGAGUGGAAAGUUCACACUGUGACGGUAUCUUACCAGAAAGGGACGGCUAACUACGUGCCAGCAGCCGCGGUAAUACGUAGGUCCCGAGCGUUGUCCGGAUUUAUUGGGCGUAAAGCGAGCGCAGGCGGUUAGAUAAGUCUGAAGUUAAAGGCUGUGGCUUAACCAUAGUACGCUUUGGAAACUGUUUAACUUGAGUGCAAGAGGGGAGAGUGGAAUUCCAUGUGUAGCGGUGAAAUGCGUAGAUAUAUGGAGGAACACCGGUGGCGAAAGCGGCUCUCUGGCUUGUAACUGACGCUGAGGCUCGAAAGCGUGGGGAGCAAACAGGAUUAGAUACCCUGGUAGUCCACGCCGUAAACGAUGAGUGCUAGGUGUUAGACCCUUUCCGGGGUUUAGUGCCGUAGCUAACGCAUUAAGCACUCCGCCUGGGGAGUACGACCGCAAGGUUG